rnacentral:rRNA from 1 species
UACGGAGGGGGCGAGCGUUAUUCGGAAUUAUUGGGCGUAAAGGGCGCGUAGGCGGCCUUGCAAGUCAAAGGUGAAAUCCCUCGGCUCAACUGAGGAACUGCCUUUGAAACUGCAUGGCUUGAGGCCGGGAGGGGGUAGCGGAAUUCCCAGUGUAGCGGUGAAAUGCGUAGAUAUUGGGAGGAACACCAGUGGCGAAGGCGGCUACCUGGACCGGUUCUGACGCUGAGGCGCGAAAGCUAGGGUAGCAAACGGG